rnacentral:piRNA from 1 species
UGGGAAAGUGAUAUAGGGAUGUCAUACUGC